UACGUAGGGUGCAAGCGUUUGUCCGGAAUUAUUGGGCGUAAAGAGCUCGUAGGCGGUUUGUCGCGUCUGCUGUGAAAUCCCGAGGCUCAACCUCGGGUCUGCAGUGGGUACGGGCAGACUGGAGUGCGGUAGGGGGAGAAUGGAAUUCCUGGUGUAGCGGUGGAAUGCGCAGAUAUCAGGAGGAACACCAGUGGCGAAGGCGGCCCGCUGGCUCGCCCCUGACGCUGAGGCGCGAAAGCGUGGGGAGCGAACGGG
rnacentral:rRNA from 1 species